rnacentral:rRNA from 1 species
GACGAACGCUGGCGGCGUGCCUAACACAUGCAAGUCGAACGGGACCGGGGGCAACUCCGGUUCAGUGGCGGACGGGUGCGUAACACGUGAGGAACAUGACCUUCGGCGGGGGAUAGCCGGCCCAACGGCCGGGUAAUACCGCGUACGACCUUUCGGGGACAUCCCUGGAUGGUGAAAGCAGCAAUGCGCCGAUGGAGUGCCUCGCGGCCUAUCAGCUAGUUGGUGGGGUAACGGCCUACCAAGGCGACGACGGGUAGCUGGACUGAGAGGAUGGCAAGCCACAUUGGGACUGAGACACGGCCCAGACUCCUACGGGAGGCAGCAGUGGGGAAUAUUGCGCAAUGGACGAAAGUCUGACGCAGCGACGCCGCGUGUGGGAUGACGGUCUUCGGAUUGUAAACCACUGUCGGGAGGGACGAAUACGCCGCAAGGCGGGUGACGGUACCUCCAAAGGAAGCACCGGCUAACUCCGUGCCAGCAGCCGCCGUAACAC